rnacentral:rRNA from 1 species
AGAGUUUGAUCCUGGCUCAGAACGAACGCUGGCGGCGUGGCUAAGGCAUGCAAGUCGAACGGGGUUUUUCGGGUGGCAACACCUGGAUAAACCUAGUGGCGAACGGGUGAGUAAUGCGUGGGUAACGUACCCUGAACUCGGGGAUAGCGGCGGUCUUCGGACCUUUAGCGAAAGUGCCGGUAAUACCCGAUAACACCUGCAGAUCUCAUGUUCUGCAGGUCAAAGUUUUUCGGUUUGGGAGCGGCCCACGUCCUAUCAGCUUGUUGGUGGGGUAACAGCCUACCAAGGCUCUGACGGGUAGCCGGCGUGAGAGCGUGAUCGGCCACAUCGGGACUGAGACACUGCCCGGACACCUACGGGUGGCUGCAGCAACGAAUAAUCCGCAAUGGGCGAAAGCCUGACGGUGCGACGCCGCGUGGAGGAUGAAGUUCUUCGGAAUGUAAACUCCAAUAGUAUGUCAGGAAGAUCUGACCAGCAUACGAAAGGGGUGGCUAACUCCGUGCCAGCAGCCGCGGUAACACGGAGACCCCUAGCGUUGUUCGGAAUCACUGGGCUUAAAGCGCGUGUAGGCGGAACGGAAAGUAUCUUGUGAAAGCCCCCGGCUCAACCGGGGAAUUGCUCGGUAUACUAUCGUUCUUGAGGCAGGUAGGGGCUGCUGGAACCUUAGGUGGAGCGGUGAAAUGCGUAGAUAUCUAAGGGAACGCCUGUGGCGAAAGCGGGCAGCUGGACCUGUUCUGACGCUGAGACGCGAAAGCGUAGGGAGCGAACGGGAUUAGAUACCCCGGUAGUCUACGCCGUAAACGAUGCGCACUAGGUUCGAGGGCUUCUGACAGCAUUCGUGCCGAAACAAAAGCGAUAAGUGCGCCGCCUGGGGAGUACGGCCGCAAGGCUAAAACUCAAAGGAAUUGACGGGGGCUCACACAAGCGGUGGAGCAUGUGGAUUAAUUCGAAACAACGCGAAGAACCUUACCUGGGUUGAACUACGGCGGAUGCCCUCGGUGAAAGUCGAGUAAGCUGCCUUCGGGUGAAACGUCGAUAGGUGCUGCAUGGCUGUCGUCAGCUCGUGCUGUGAAGUGUCGGGUUAAGUCCCUUAACGAGCGAAACCCUUAUCGUUAGUUACCAGCGGGUUAAGCCGGGAACUCUAGCGAGACUGCCGGCGUUAAGCCGGAGGAAGGCGGGGACGACGUCAAGUCAUCAUGGCCUUUAUGUCCAGGGUGUCACACGUGCUACAAUGGGGUGUACAGAGCGACGCGAGACCGUGAGGUGGAGCAAAUCGCACAAAACAUCCCUCAGUUCGGAUUGAGGUCUGCAACUCGACCUCAUGAAGCUGGAAUCGCUAGUAAUCGCGUAUCAGCCAUGACGCGGUGAAUAUGUUCCUGAGCC